rnacentral:rRNA from 1 species
UACGUAGGUGGCAAGCGUUAUCCGGAUUUACUGGGUGUAAAGGGCGUGCAGGCGGGUCUGCAAGUCGGGUGUGAAAUUUCCGGGCUUAACUCGGACGGGUCACCCGAAACUGCGGAUCUUGAGUACUGGAGAGGAUAGUGGAAUUCCUAGUGUAGCGGUAAAAUGCGUAGAUAUUAGGAGGAACACCAGUGGCGAAGGCGGCUAUCUGGACAGUAACUGACGCUGAGGCGCGAAAGCGUGGGGAGCAAACAGG